AUGAACGCUGGCGGCGUGCUUAAUACAUGCAAGUUGAACGAGGUGCCUCCGGUAGCAAUACUAGAGGUAUCCUAGUGGCGAAUGGGUGAGUAACACGUAGGCGACCUGCCCCGAAGUGGGGAAUAACAGUUCGAAAGAACUGCUAAUACCGCGUGUGGUCCGGGAGGUUAGAGACUCUGGGACUAAAGCAGCAAUGCGCUUCGGGAGGGACCUGCGGUCCAUCAGCUAGUUGGUAGGGUAAUGGCCUACCAAGGCAAGGACGGAUAGGGGGCCGGAGAGGGUGAUCCCCCACACUGGCACUGAAACACGGGCCAGACACCUACGGGUGGCAGCAGUAGGGAAGAUUGCACAAUGGGCGCAAGCCGGAUGCAGCAACGCCGCGUGCGCGAGGAAGGCCUUCGGGUCGUAAAGCGCUUUUCGGGGAGAUGAGAGAGGACAGUAUCCCCGGAAGAAGUCACGGCUAACUACGU
rnacentral:rRNA from 1 species